rnacentral:rRNA from 1 species
CCUACGGGUGGCAGCAGUCGAGAAUCAUUCACAAUGGGGGAAACCCUGAUGGUGCGACGCCGCGUGGGGGAAUGAAGGUCUUCGGAUUGUAAACCCCUGUCAUGUGGGAGCAAAUAAAAAAGAUAGUAGCACAAGAGGAAGAGACGGAUCAAUCUGUGCCAGCAGCCGCGGUACUACAGAGGUCUCAAGCGUUGUUCGGAAUCACUGGGCGUACAGCGUGCGUAGGCUGUGUAGUAAGUAGUGUGUGAAAGGCGCGGGCCCAACCCGCGGACGGCACAUGAUACUGCGAGACUAGAGUAAUGGAGGGGGAACCGGAAUUCUUGGUGUAGCAGUGAAAUGCGUAGAUAGUGAGAGGAACACUCGUGGCGAAGGCGGGUUCCUGGACAUUAACUGACGCUGAGGCACGAAGGCCAGGGGAGCGAAAGGGAUUAGAUACCCGGGUAGUC